rnacentral:rRNA from 1 species
GAUGAACGCUGGCGGCAUGCUUAACACAUGCAAGCCGGACGGGAAGAGGUGUUGCCAGUGGCGGACGGGGGAGUAACGAGGAAGAAGCUGCCCUGGGGAGGGGAACAACAGAUGGAAAGGGCAGCUAAGACAAAGGAGGGUGAGGAGCAAAAGCAGGAAUCCGCCUGAGGAGGGGCGCGAGACUGAUGAGCGAGUGGGUGAGGCAAUAGCUUACCAAGGCGAUGAACAGUAGCGGGUACGAGAGGACCAUCAGCCACACUCGGACUGGGACACGCCCCAGACUCCCUCGCGCGACAGCAGUGGCCCAUUUUCCGCAAUGCCCGAUUGCCUGACGCAGCACUGCCGCGUGGAGGUAGAAUGCCUACGGGUCGUGGCCUUCUUUUCCCAGAGAAGACGCAAUGGCGGUAUCUGGCGAAUAAGCUUCGGCUAACUCUGUC